rnacentral:rRNA from 1 species
CAGCAGCCACGGUAAUACGGAGGGUGCAAGCGUUAAUCGGAAUUACUGGGCGUAAAGCGCACGCAGGCGGUUUGUUAAGUCAGAUGUGAAAUCCCCGAGCUUAACUUGGGAACUGCAUUUGAAACUGGCAAGCUAGAGUCUUGUAGAGGGGGAUAGAAUUCCAGGUGUAGCGGUGAAAUGCGUAGAGAUCUGGAGGAAUACCGGUGGCGAAGGCGGCCCCCUAGACAAAGACUGACGCUCAGGUGCGAAAGCGUGGGGAGCAAACAGGAUUAGAUACCCCUGUAGUCCCUGUCUCUUAUAC